UACGGGGGGAGCAAGCGUUGUUCGGAUUUACUGGGCGUAAAGGGCGCGUAGGCGGCUUUGCAAGUGACGGGUGAAAGCCCUCGGCUUAACCGAGGAACUGCCUGUCAGACUGUGAGGCUUGAGACCGGGAGAGGUGAGUGGAAUUCCCAGUGUAGCGGUGAAAUGCGUAGAUAUUGGGAGGAACACCAGUGGCGAAGGCGGCUCACUGGACCGGAACUGACGCUGAGGCGCGAAAGCGUGGGGAGCAAACAGG
rnacentral:rRNA from 1 species